GUGGGGAAUCUUGCGCAAUGGGCGAAAGCCUGACGCAGCCAUGCCGCGUGAAUGAUGAAGGUCUUAGGAUUGUAAAAUUCUUUCACCGGGGACGAUAAUGACGGUACCCGGAGAAGAAGCCCCGGCUAACUUCGUGCCAGCAGCCGCGGUAAUACGAAGGGGGCUAGCGUUGCUCGGAAUUACUGGGCGUAAAGGGCGCGUAGGCGGACAGUUUAGUCAGAGGUGAAAGCCCAGGGCCCAACCUUGGAAUUGCCUUUGAUACUGGCUGUCUUGAGUGCGGGAGAGGUGAGUGGAACUCCGAGUGUAGAGGUGAAAGUCGUAGAUAUUCGGAAGAACACCAGUGGCGAAGGCGACUCACUGGCCCGUUACUGACGCUGAGGCGCGAAAGCGUGGGGAGCAAACAGGAUUAGAAACCCGGGUAGUCC
rnacentral:rRNA from 1 species